AUUGCACUUGAAGCAUUUCACUUCUUUCUUAUCCUUCCGAGACUUUGACCAUCCCCUCAACUUACUUCUGUCCCAUCCUCUUUCUGAUCUCUCUUCUACGGCUAGGUCUUCUUGGGGAACACCUUCCUUGGUCAAGCUCUCCCUCUACUCAUUGGAUUGAAGCACCAAGAUAGUGUCCUCAUAAUACAAAGUCUCCUUCCUAUAGAGCAGUGUCAUCACC
rnacentral:lncRNA from 1 species